rnacentral:lncRNA from 10 species
GGGCAUGACACAAGUGAUUGCUGGUUGAGGGAAGUUAAACUGAGCUUAAUAUUAAAAGAUUGAGAGGACAAGAUUAACCAUAGUUAAGUCUUUUUACCUCUGAUUUAGGAAAUGGAAGAUUUUGCUUAAUUUUUUAAUAAGUAGAUUUUUUUAAGGGGGAAGAAUUUUAUUGAUCUUUAAAAUCAUUCUGUAUCUCAGUCUUUUCCCAACAUUGUUUGAGGGUCAUGAAUAGAAGCAACUGCCAUAUGGAUCAACUGUUGUACAUUUGGUAUAAUUAUACUUAGAGCAGAGGUAAAGGACUAUGUGGGAGUUCUCCUGUGCAUCAGCCAGGGUGCACACACAAGCCAGACGGAGUCUCGCUCUGUCACUCAGGCUGGAGUGCAGUGGCGCGAUCUCGGCUCACUGCAAGCUCCGCCUCCCGGGUUCACGCCAUUCUCCUGCCUCAGCCUCCCUUGUAGCUGGGACUACAGAUCAUGGAAGGGAAGUGGUUGCUGUGUAUGUUACUGGUGCUUGGAACUGCUAUUGUUGAGGCUCAUGAUGGACAUGAUGAUGAUGUGAUUGAUAUUGAG